rnacentral:rRNA from 1 species
UGGGGAAUUUUGGACAAUGGGGGAAACCCUGAUCCAGCCAUCCCGCGUGUGCGAUGAAGGCCUUCGGGUUGUAAAGCACUUUUGGCAGGAAAGAAACGUCAUGGGUUAAUACCCCGUGAAACUGACGGUACCUGCAGAAUAAGCACCGGCUAACUACGUGCCAGCAGCCGCGGUAAUACGUAGGGUGCAAGCGUUAAUCGGAAUUACUGGGCGUAAAGCGUGCGCAGGCGGUUCGGAAAGAAAGAUGUGAAAUCCCAGAGCUCAACUUUGGAACUGCAUUUGUAACUACCGGGCUAGAGUGUGUCAGAGGGAGGUGGAAGUCCGCGUGUAGCAGUGAAAUGCGUAGAUAUGCGGAGGAACACCGGUGGCGAAGGCAGCCUCCUGGGAUAACACUGACGCUCAGGCACGAAAGCGUGGGGAGCAAACAGG